AUUACCUCAGUACGGCGAGUGAAGCGGUAACAGCUCAAAUUUGAAAGCUGCCAACAGGCCGCGUUGUAAUUUGUAGAAGCUGCUUUGGGUAUUGGCCCGGUCUAAGUUCCUUGGAACAGGACGUCAUAGAGGGUGAGAAUCCCGUAUGUGAUCGGUGCCGGCGCCCGUGUAAAGCGCUUUCGACGAGUCGAGUUGUUUGGGAAUGCAGCUCAAAAUGGGUGGUAAAUUUCAUCUAAAGCUAAAUAUUGGCCAGAGACCGAUAGCGCACAAGUAGAGUGAUCGAAAGAUGAAAAGCACUUUGGAAAGAGAGUUAAACAGUACGUGAAAUUGUUGAAAGGGAAGCGCUUGCAACCAGACUUGCGGGCGGUCGAUCAUCCGAGGUUCUCCCCGGUGCACUCGAUCGUUCUCAGGCCAGCAUCGGUUUCCGGGGUGGGAUAAAGACGGUGGGAAUGUGGCUCUUCGGAGUGUUAUAGCCCACCGUGCAAUGCCGCCACCGGGGACCGAGGACCGCGCUUCGGCUAGGAUGCUGGCGUAAUGGUUGUAAGCGACCCGUCUUGAAACACGGACCAAGGAGUCUAACAUCUAUGCGAGUGUUUGGGUGUCAAACCCAUACGCGUAAUGAAAGUGAACGGAGGUAAGACCCCUUUAGGGUGCAUUAUCGACCGAUCCUGAUGUCUUCGGAUGGAUUUGAGUAAGAGCAUAGCUGUUGGGACCCGAAAGAUGGUGAACUAUGCGUGAAUAGGGUGAAGCCAGAGGAAACUCUGGUGGAGGCUCGCAGCGGUUCUGACGUGCAAAUCGAUCGUCAAAUUUGCGUAUAGGG
rnacentral:rRNA from 1 species